rnacentral:misc_RNA from 1 species
AAGUCGUAACAAGGUUUCCGUAGGUGAACCUGCGGAAGGAUCAUUAUCGAUUCAACACAAAUGAGAAGGGAGUCGUUUGUAGCUGUGCUGGCCUCUAACAAAGGGGCAUGUGCACGCUCGACUUCUCUUUUCUUCAUUUACACACCUGUGAACCUGUUUGUAGGGUGUCUCGCAAGGGAUGCUCUAUGUCUUUUUCAUAUACCCCAUUGUAUGUUUAUAGAAUGUAUCUUUUUGCUCUCGUCAGAGACAAAAGUAAAGCCUUUAUAACUUUCAGCAACGGAUCUCUUGGCUCUC